rnacentral:rRNA from 1 species
GACGAACGCUGGCGGCGUGCUUAACACAUGCAAGUCGAACGGAAAGGCCUGCUUUCCCUUGUGGAUUGCGGGUACUCGAGUGGCGAACGGGUGAGUAACACGUGAGUGAUCUGCCCCCAACUUGGGUAUAAGCCUGGGAAACUGGGUCUAAUUCCCGAUAGGACUGCAGGGUGGUGCCUGUGGUGGAAAACGAUUUUCUAGUGGUUGGGGUUGAGCUCGCGGCCUAUCAGCUUGUUGGUGGGGUAAUGGCCUACCAAGGCGGCGACGGGUAGCCGGCCUGAGAGGGUGGACGGCCACAUUGGGACUGAGAUACGGCCCAGACUCCUACGGGAGGCAGCAGUGGGGAAUAUUGCACAAUGGGCGGAAGCCUGAUGCAGCGACGCCGCGUGGGGGAUGACGGCCUUCGGGUUGUAAACUCCUUUCGACCGCGAGGAAGCCACCUGGUUGGAAGGGUGGUGACGGUAGUGGUAGAAGAAGCACCGGCUAACUACGUG